UUAUUAAGAAUUUGAAAUACCCAUAGGAUUCAAUAUAUAUUGAUUUGACAUGAUGAAAUUUACAAGCAACUACUUAAAAUGUUUAAGAACAUUAAUUUAACCUCUAACAACAUUGUUUUAAAGAGAAGACACACAAGACUCCAACAGAUUUAUAAAUAAGAUAUAUCUGCAUUAACCGAAAAAAAAAUUGAGAGUAAAAUCACACCUAGCAGCUCUUAUGAAGGCCUAUGAUUUAUAUUAAAUGCAAUGUUCUUGAGAGUUUUUUUAAUUUUUGAAAUUGGAAUAAAGAAAGAAUUUGUUAA